rnacentral:lncRNA from 1 species
GAAGGGUGAGGGCCCCGGCGAGGGCAGGUUGCUGCACUCGCUACCGGUCCUGGGCACGCCGGUCAGCACGGGGGGAACCCGGCACCUCUUGCGGCUCCUGGGGGAAGGGGGUAAGGGGGGAAGGGGGGAAGUUUGCGAGCUGGGGCCCCUGGGGGUGAGGGUGAGGGAGGGAGCGGAGUUCUCUUCCCUUGGCUGCCACACGCCGGCUAUCGGCUGUAUGCGGUGUGUGGAGGGGGUCAGCUUCGCACCGGAUAGCUGUACCCCCGGCGGCGAGGGAGAUCCACCUUAACACAUCUUUCGUCACCAGUCGUACACACAUAUCAUAUCAGGUAGUACACAUGCUUGAGGACACGCACGGCUGUUUGGAAAGCAGCGGGGCACCUGAACGGCGGCGGAGACCAUGAGGAUGGGAUGGCGGUGAAACAGCCUUGCCCUCAGCCCCUCUUCCCCCCUCCUUCCCUCCCCCAUUCCUUCCCUCUCCCCUCCUUCUCUCACCCUCACCCCCUCACCCCUCAACCUCACCGGCUCCGUCUGUCCUUGUCUUUGCCGUAUCCCGGUCCCUGUCCUCCCGCCGCCGCCGCCGCAGUCACCGCCGCCGCCAUUUCCUUGAGCUCGUCAAUCAGCCUCAGCGCCNN